rnacentral:rRNA from 1 species
CAAUAGCGUAUAUUAAAGUUGUUGCGGUAAAAAAGCUCGUAGUUGGAUUUCUGUUGAGAGCGACCGGUCCAUACCAUGUAUGCGUAUCUGGCUUGCUCUCGGCAUCCUCUCGAUAGACGUUACUGCGCUUGAUUGCGUGGUGCGGAUCUCGGGACUUUUACUUUGAGGAAAUUAGAGUGUUCACGGCAGGCUUUCGCCAGAAUACAUUAGCAUGGAAUAAUACUAUAGGAUCUUGGUCCUAUUUUGUUGGUUUCUAGAAUUGAGAUAAUGAUUAAUAGGGACAAUUGGGGGCAUUCGUAUCAACACGUCAGAGGUGGAAUUCUUGGAUUGUGUUGCGACGAACUACUGCGAAAGCAUUUGCCAAGGAUGUUUUCAUUGA